rnacentral:rRNA from 1 species
AACCUCCGCAAUGUGAGAAAUCGCGACGGGGGGAUCCCAAGUGCCAUUCUUAACGGGAUGGCUUUUCAUUAGUGUAAAGAGCUUUUGGAAUAAGGGCUGGGCAAGACCGGUGCCAGCCGCCGCGGUAACACCGGCAGCUCUAGUGGUAGCAGUUUUUAUUGGGCCUAAAGCGUCCGUAGCCGGUUUAAUAAGUCUCUGGUGAAAUCCUGUAGCUUAACUGUGGGAAUUGCUGGAGAUACUAUUAGACUUGAGACCGGGAGAGGUUAGAGGUACUCCCAGGGUAGAGGUGAAAUUCUGUAAUCCUGGGAGGACCGCCUGUUGCGAAGGCGUCUAACUGGAACGGUUCUGACGGUGAGGGACGAAAGUUAGGGGCGCGAACCGGAUUAGAUACCCGGGUAGUCCUAACUGUAACGAUGCGGACUUAGUGUUGGGGUGGCUUUGAGCUGCUCCAGUGCCGAAGGGAAGCUGUUAAGUCCGCCGCCUGGGAAGUACGGUCGCAAGACUGAAACUUAAAGGAAUU